GAUGAACGCUGGCGGCGUGCUUAACACAUGCAAGUCGAACGGAAAGACCUGCUUUUCCUUCUGGUGUGGGGGUAGGCGGGUGGCGAAGGGAUGAGUAAAUCGUCAGUCAUUUGCCCUCGACUUGGGUAGAAGCCUGGGAAACUGGGUCUAAUUAUCUAUAGGACUGCAGGGUGGAGCCGGUGGUGGAAAAUUAUUUUCUAGUGGUUGGGGAUGAGCUCGCGGCGUAUCAGCUUGUUGGUGGGGUAAUGGACUAACAAGGCGGCGAUGGGUAGCCGGGCUGAGAGGGUGAUCGGGCACACUGGCACUGAGACACGGUCCAGACCCCUACUGGAGGCGGCAGUGGGGAAUGUUGGGCAAUGGGCGUAAGCGUGAUGCAGAAACACCGCGUGAGUGAAGAAGGUCUUCGGCUUGUAAAUCUCUGUUGUUGGGGAAGAAGAGGAGGCGACCUAGAUGGAAGGGUGUUGACGGUACCGAAAGAAGAAGCACCGGCUAACUACGUG
rnacentral:rRNA from 1 species